ensembl:lncRNA
GAAACAAAGAGAUCAGAUCCUCUGGAUAAGAUGUAGCCCACCAAGAACCUUGCUGUUCUUCUUACCCAGGGUUCCAAUGACAGUACUACUUCAAGAAGCAGUUCUUCAGAAUGAGUUUUCUGGAGCCUCCUGUGCUCCGACUCCUCUUCAGUAGUGAUCAGAGCAUGCUAACAGCAUGAAAGAUAAGAUGUGAAUUGCAACCUUUUUUACUUCUGAGAACUGGCAGGCAAAAUGGUUCUUUCAAUCAGCAUCUCUUGGCCUUUGGACAGAGUUCCUUGAAUAUCAUAGAAUCAUAGAAUAUGACUGAGAAGGCUGCAGAUCUUUCAGUGGUGUCCCACGAAGCAUAUAAAGUACCCUCUCUUGCAUCCGUUAUGACAAUUCAUUCCAGUAAGUAUAAACUAAUUGUUAACAUGUGAUAAGAACCAUAAAGUUGCAUUUGUUCUUCUCAGUUUCAGAGGAUAAAGACAUGCUUCAGCUUCAAACAACCUGGAAGAAUAAAGCAGGAGAAUACGGAAACAGAGAAACAAAACAGAUUUUUCAGUAGUGUUUUUUAUUAUGAUUCCAUCUUAACAGAUCUUUUGCAAGUAUGAAAAUGGGCUUUGAAUUCCCAUCCGAGUUACACAUCUCUCCCUCAAUGAAAUGAAGGGUCAGGGAAAAAUAAUAGAAAAAAUAAAUCUUCAUGAGUUAACAAGAGAUCAGUGGUUUCAGACCACUGACUAGCAGACCAUGUAUUUACCAAGACUCACCAAAUUGGUCUGCUGUGAUCCACUGCUCAUUUUCCAUAAUGACAAAUUUCAUAAAUACAAUGCG